rnacentral:rRNA from 1 species
UACGUAGGGUGCAAGCGUUGUCCGGAAUUAUUGGGCGUAAAGAGCUCGUAGGCGGUUUGUCGCGUCUGCUGUGAAAACCCGAGGCUCAACCUCGGGCCUGCAGUGGGUACGGGCAGACUAGAGUGCGGUAGGGGAGAUUGGAAUUCCUGGUGUAGCGGUGAAAUGCGCAGAUAUCAGGAGGAACACCGGUGGUGUAGACGGCUCUCUGGACCGUAACUGACGCUGAGGCACGAAAGCGUGGGUAGCAAACAGG